rnacentral:rRNA from 1 species
GACGAACGCUGGCGGCGUGCUUAACACAUGCAAGUCGAGCGGUAAGGCCCUUUCGGGGGUACGACGAGCGGCGAACGGGUGAGUAACACGUGGGUGACCUGCCCUCAGCUCUGGGAUAAGCCUGGGAAACCGGGUCUAAUACUGGAUAUGACUCCAUGACGCAUGUUGUGGGGUGGAAAGCCUUGUGCGGCUGAGGAUGGGCCCGCGGCCUAUCAGCUUGUUGGUGGGGUGAGGCCUACCAAGGCGACGACGGGUAGCCGGCCUGAGAGGGCGACCGGCCACACUGGGACUGAGACACGGCCCAGACUCCUACGGGAGGCAGCAGUGGGGAAUCUUGCGCAAUGGGCGAAAGCCUGACGCAGCGACGCCGCGUGAGGGAUGACGGCCUGGUGUAAC